UUAUUUACAAACAGAUUUGUACCCGGUCUCUUACUGGAUGGGGAUGACUACUAGAUUAUUCUCUACAAAACCUACUCAUAAAAGCUUCGGGGGGGACAUCACUAUUAGAACUCCAGGUUCUAACAUCACCGGUCCAGAGCUACUGUGGAGGAGCAACAGAUACCACUUCGUAAUCAUGACUGCAUUAUUCAGCAACAUAAUGCAACUGUUGUACGUCCUCCAGUAGGGAUUUCAAGGAGCAAGUUAGUGUAGUAUACUGACCUCCCAUCAUCACCAUCAGGACAUACAGCACCGUAACAUUCAAGCAACAAAUACAAGCACAAGUGAGGGGAGGAUGCUCCUUGAGUCAUGCUGCUGUGUAUAAGACACUGCACAGGUAUUUCAUGGGUUUGAUAUUUCAGUGUAACAUUACAGAAGCAGUACAAACGAGCCCAUGAUAAUAUAAAAUACAAAAAGAUUGAGAACAUUCUUUCUAAGUCAUGUCCCUCUUUCGGGUAGCAAUUAUGCAUACACAGAAAGGACAGCUUUCCUGACUCUGAGAUGCAGAGCCUGCAACACAUAUGAGCAGUGUAUGAUACCAAUGACUUCUAGUCUCCAUCCAUAUUUCAGAUUGCUGAAGCAAUAUUUAAAGUAUUAUCAAGAUCAUUCACACUUGGAAUUAGAAAGCAUACAAGCUUAUCUCCAAAUUCCUUUACAGCUCUGUAAGACCUUUUCAGUCAUUUGCGCUUAAAACAUACAAACAUCUGCUGUUAGAAGACAGAAAAAAGUUAUGCAAAACUACAUAUUAAAGAAACUUAAUACAGUU